rnacentral:rRNA from 1 species
GCGGAGGAAAAGAAACCAACAGGGAUUGCCCUAGUAACGGCGAGUGAAGCGGCAACAGCUCAAAAUUUGAAAGCUGGCCUUCGGGUCCGCAUUGUAAUUUGUAGAGGAUGCUUUGGGUGAAACGCCAGUCUAAGUUCCUUGGAACAGGACGUCAUAGAGGGUGAGAAUCCCGUAUGUGACUGGAAAUGUUAACCUAUGUAAAGCUCCUUCGACGAGUCGAGUUGUUUGGGAAUGCAGCUCUAAAUGGGAGGUAAAUUUCUUCUAAAGCUAAAUAUUGGCGAGAGACCGAUAGCGCACAAGUAGAGUGAUCGAAAGAUGAAAAGCACUUUGGAAAGAGAGUUAAAAAGCACGUGAAAUUGUUGAAAGGGAAGCGCUUGCAAUCAGACUUGUUUAAACUGUUCGGCCGGUCUUCUGACCGGUUUACUCAGUUUGGACAGGCCAGCAUCAGUUUCGGCGGCCGGAUAAAGGCUCUGGGAAUGUGGCCUUCACUUCGGUGAAGGUGUUAUAGCCCAGGGUGUAAUACGGCCAGCCGGGACUGAGGUCCGCGCUUCGGCUAGGAUGCUGGCGUAAUGGUUGUA